rnacentral:lncRNA from 1 species
UAAAGCAGUACCAUACAUUAAUAAAAUUAUGUAUUUUUUAAAACAUGGUGUUUUCACUAAUGUCAAAAAUCUCAACAGCCUCUGCCUGGGACUGAAAAACAAUUUAAAGACGGGAAGACCUGGUAUUACAGUCAAAGCCUUGGAUGAAUAGCAAAGGCUAAUGAGAUGUCAGUUUUUAUUUGACCCAGUUGUAACCCAGAUAUGGAGGUGACCUGACUGCUAAUUUAUUAGUGAGACUGUUGUGGCAGCUCCUGCUGUAAUGGCUUAAAAUGAAAUGAUUUUUCUCCAGCUUUUCAGAACAUUGCUUGGUUUUUGUGUUUUUAAAUUUUGAGUUGUAAUGGUUUCCUUCUUUUUAUCUGUAGCCCUCACAUGAUUUCAACCUUCAUGUUAGAAAAACAAACAAAAAACAUUAUCUAGAGGCAUCUAAAAGAUAUAUUUAAGAAAAUACCUCAUCAUAUCUCUGUUUCCAACACCUUCCAGCUGUGGUGCUGGGAGAAGACACAAUACUGAGUGUGGUCCCUUAGGCUGCCUUCAUCCACUGGAUCUCAUUAUGUGGAUGCUUUAGGCAGGGGCCUUUUACAACCUAUGAGCAAUACUGCAGUAGAGCCCCAGGAAAAAUAACAUCUGGAAGUUGUCUUGAGCUUGCAAAACUUCUACUCCUCCUAAGUCAUGUGUCACUUCCUCUAAGAUUCGAAGUCAUAAUAGAAAAACGAAAAUGGAAGUGACACUGUCAGCAGUGUGACCCUCACAGCUGUGCAUCCACUGGGACCCAGAAGAAAUUGCUUCUAAAUGCCAAUAGGAAAUGCCAUAGGAAACUGGUCAGCAGAGCAUUACGUUUGCGCUCUGAUUUGGCACUCUUCAGUCCAGCAUAGAGAGAGCACUACAGGCUGUUGGCACCAGGCAAAGCAAGGGGCUUUUCAAGGCUGCAGUAUUAAGAAAGGGCUGUGGAUCUUUGGAGGCACCUCAUUGUGUCACAGUCUUGCAAUGCUGAGGCAAGUGUCUUCCACAUGAAGCAUCUUUCAUAUGAAAGGAGGCUGAGAGAGCUGGGAUUCAUCAGCCUGGAGAAGAGAAGGCUCAGUAGGAUUUUAUUAAUGUGUCUAAAUACAUGAUGGGAGAGAAUGAAGAUAAGGGAGCCAGAUUCUUCUCAAUAGUGCCCACUAUCAGGACAAAAGGCGACGGACACAAAUAAAAACAAAACAAAACAAAACAAAACCACUCUUUCACUGUGAAGGUGGCUGAACACUGGCACAAAUUGCCUAGAGAGACUGUGGAUAGAGACAAUCAAAACCCAGAUGGACACAGUCUUGGGAAACCUGCUCUAGGUGGCUCUGCUGAGGAGGGAUUUGCACUAGAUGUUCUCAGAAGGUCCCUUUCAGCAUAAACAAUUCUGCAAAGCAGAUCCAAGGGGGUAUGAACUGCUAGCAAGAAGCAACGUGUGACCUGGGAGAGUGUGCUGGACUGGACCCAAGAGACCUGGAUGCAUCUCAGGUGGCCAACUAAUUACUGAAUGUGGGUGGGAAAAUCACUUUGCUUUCAAGUGCUUCUUUUUCCCCACUCUUAUAAUGGACAGAAGAGUGCUUACCUCCAUUAGAAAGUUCUUUGAGGCUUAAGACCACCACGUAAAAGCAAGAUAUAUAUUUUUUCCCCAAAAUAUGUUUUAUUGGUCCAGUCUCAGUUAACCAAAAGUUACUACACUAAGAAUACAGUCUGGGAGCUGUGACUGCCAAAGUCACUGGGCACAGACUCUGGCAUCUCCUUCCUCUUAGAAAACCAUGCUGAUAACAUCUCAGUGGGCUGCUACAAGGUUUGUUGUUAAUGAUUAUACACCAUUUUGAAAGUUCAGUCUCUCUAGAAAAUCAUUGAUAUUAAUGACCCGGACCC